UAUGUGAUCGUCUCUCGCAUAUCAAUAAGCGGAGGAAAAGAAACUAACAAGGAUUCCCCUAGUAACGGCGAGUGAAGCGGGAAGAGCUCAAAUUUGAAAUCUUAAAGGGUUUCCCUUUACGAAUUGUAGUUUAAAGAAGUGUUUUCUGUUGAGGUUUUGGUAAAAGUUCUUUGGAAUAGGACAUCAUAGAGGGUGAGAAUCCCGUAUUUGACCUUUACUUUCAACUUUGUGAUACACUUUCAAAGAGUCGGAUUGUUUGGGAAUGCAGUCCAAAAUGGGUGGUAAAUUUCAUCUAAAGCUAAAUAUUGGCGAGAGACCGAUAGCGAACAGGUACCGUGAGGGAAAGAUGAAAAGAACUUUGAAAAGAGAGUUAAACAGUACGUGAAAUUGUCAAAAGGGAAGCGUUUGGCACCAGUGUUGUUUUUCUGAAAAUCAAUUAAAGAACUGUUUAUGCUAAGUUGUUUAGACUUUAUCAGCUAUCUGUUUAGUUUUGAGCUUUUCUUUAAUGCACUUUUCAGUUAACAAGUCAACAUCAAUUUCUUUUGCUGUAAAAAAGCUUGAGGAAGGUGGCUUGAGAUUCGUCUUAAGUGUUUAUAGCCUCUUGCCUAUGCAGUCGGAGAGAUUGAGGUCUGCAGCGUAGAUCCUUCGGGGCUAAAUGCAUUUGUGCUAAGUUAUAGCAUUUUAUAGACAACUUGUUGACUAUGAUUUGUCUUGUAGCUUACUCGCUUAUGUUAUUUUACCUACGCUUAGGAUGUUGAUCUACAGAGCGAGAGU
rnacentral:rRNA from 1 species